rnacentral:rRNA from 1 species
CUCGUAGGUGGCCAACUAAGUCAGACGUGAAAUCCCUCGGCUUAACCGGGGAACUGCGUUUGAUACUGGAUGGCUUGAGUUUGGGAGAGGGACGCGGAAUUCCAGGUGUAGCGGUGAAAUGCGUAGAUAUCUGGAGGAACACCGGUGGCGAAGGCGGCGUCCUGGACCAACACUGACACUGAUGAGCGAAAGCCAGGGGGAGCAAAACGG